UUCCCUGUGGCUCAGUUGGUAGAGCAUGGUGUGUGCAACACCAGGGUUGUGGGUUCAAUUCCCACAGGGGGGC
rnacentral:tRNA from 1 species